UAAUCUAUAUAAACAUUAUUUCCCGAUAAAAAAAGAUCUAUUCUUUAGUUGAAUUAUAGUUGUUUAUAUCCACAAUGUUGAAUUAUUGUAUAUAAAAUUUUGGAUAGAGGCGAAAUACCUUCAUUUUUUUUGAUAUCUGGAUAGAGUUUAAAAGAAUUUAGUUCUAAGGAUAGUCAAAGAGUUAUAAGAUUCUUUGAUAGUUAAAUUGUAGAUAUAGAGAGGUAUAUAGGAAUAAUUUUCUUAAUAUUGUAGCAUGCUAACAUUUAUGUCUAAUACUAUAUUUAAUUACUUAAACUCCUCUUGAUCAUAAUAGUGUAACGUUAUCUAAUAAUGUUUAAAUCAGUAUUUAUAAUUGUAUAUCUUAAUAAGGAACUCGGCAAAAAAAAUUUUCAACUGUUUACCAAAAACAUAGCUUGGAGAGCGUUUAUUCUAAGUGAUUUCUGCCCAGUGAAAUUUUAACGGCCGCAGUACACUGACUGUGCUAAGGUAGCAUAAUAAUUUGGCUUUUAAUUGAAGUCGGGUAUGAAAGGGACCAUGGAGAAAAUCUGUCUCAUUUUAGAUAAAUAAAAGUUACUAAGAAAGUGAAAAUUCUUUCAUAAUUGUUACGUAAGACGAGAAGACCCUAAGAAUUUUUAUAAAGUUGAUGUUCCAAUACUUACUAAAUUUUUGUUGGGGCAACAACUUUGGUAAACCGAAGUGUUCAUAUUAUGUACAUACCAGAUAUUUUAAGAUUAGAUAAAAUUACCUUAGGGAUAACAGCAUAAUUAUUUUAUUAGAUUGUGACCUCGAUGUUGGACUAAGGACUUAAUUAGAUAGCCUUUAAUUAAGCUAGUUCUGUUCGAACUUCUUACCUUA
rnacentral:rRNA from 1 species